rnacentral:rRNA from 2 species
ACGAUUGACCUCGGAUCAGGUAGGGAUACCCGCUGAACUUAAGCAUA